AGUUGGAAUUAUACUAAUGGGGUUGGGGUGUUUAUAUGGGGGGUUAAUUAAGUUAAUUAACCAUAACUUAAUCCAUAACUAACCAACAAACCCCUUAUUUAAUUAGUUAAGACUUAGUAAAAAAUGUGCAGCAAAAUUGGACCCUCACAAACGAGACCCCGCCGACGCCUCGUGGCUCAAUCUACGGACCAGCCCCCAUUCCGUGAUGCACGUCCAUCAAUGAGCUCAGAGACUGUGCAGGUGAGGGACUCCAACAAAUUGUCUAAGUCUUUGUCGAAGGUUGGUAUCGAUGCCCCUUCAAUCAACACCCG
rnacentral:misc_RNA from 1 species